rnacentral:rRNA from 1 species
UCCGGUUGAUCCUGCCGGACCUGACUGCUAUCGGAUUGAUACUAAGCCAUGCGAGUCUUUGUAGUAAUACAAGGCAGACGGCUCAGUAACGCGUAGUCAACCUACCCUAUGGACGGGAAUAAUCUCGGGAAACUGAGGAUAAUACCCGGCGUACCACCAUUCCUGGAAUGGUUGGUGGUUAAAAUGAUUCGUCGCCGUAGGAUGGGACUGCGACCUAUCAGCUUGUUGGUGAGGUAAAGGCCCACCAAGGCGAUUACAGGUACGGGCUCUGAGAGGAGAAGCCCGGAGAUGGGUACUGAGACACGGACCCAGGCCCUAUGGGGCGCAGCAGGCGAGAAAACUUUGCAAUGUGCGAAAGCACGACAAGGUUAAUCCGAGUGAUUUCUGCUAAAGGAAUCUUUUGCCAGUUCUAAAAAUACUAGUGAAUAAGGGGUGGGCAAGUUCUGGUGUCAGCCGCCGCGGUAAAACCAGCACCUCAAGUGGUCAGGAGGAUUAUUGGGCCUAAAGCAUCCGUAGCCUGCUCUGUAAGUUUUCGGUUAAAUCUAUAUGCUCAACGUAUAGGCUGCCGAAAAUACUGCAGUGCUAGGAAGUGGGAGAGGUAGACGGUACUUGAUAGGAAGGGGUAAAAUCCUUUGAUCUAUCGAUGACCACCUGUGGCGAAGGCGGUCUACCAGAACACGUUCGACGGUGAGGGAUGAAAGCUGGGGGAGCAAACCGGAUUAGAUACCCGGGUAGUCCCAGCUGUAAACGAUGCAGACUCGAUGAUGCAUUGGCAUAUAGCCAGUGCAGUGUCGCAGGGAAGCCGUUAAGUCUGCCGCCUGGGAAGUACGUACGCAAGUAUGAAACUUAAAGGAAUUGGCGGGGGAGCACCACAAGGGGUGAAGCCUGCGGUUCAAUUGGAGUCAACGCCGGA